CAUGCACCAGUGGGGUCUCUUGGCCUGGCCUGUGCCUUCUCACAAUCCAGGACCCCUCAGGAGAUGUUGGAGAGCUGGUUUCGGCCCGAUCCCGCAGGCCAGGCCAAGGGACCCCACUGGUGCACA
rnacentral:pre_miRNA from 1 species